rnacentral:misc_RNA from 1 species
GGGAUUUUCGGCAAUGGGGGCAACCCUGACCGAGCAACGCCGCGUGCAGGACGACGGCCUUCGGGUUGUAAACUGCUUUUCAGGGGGACGACAUCGACGGUACCCUUGGAAUAAGGCUCGGCUAACUCUGUGCCAGCAGCCGCGGUAAGACAGAGGAGCCAAGCGUUGUCCGGAUUGACUGGGCGUAAAGCGCACGCAGGUGGUCGGGCAAGUGUCGUGUGAAAGCGGCCCGCUUAACGGGUCGAGGCCAUGGCAGACUGCCUGACUGGAGGUCGUGAGAGGUCCGUGGAAUUGCCGGUGUAGUGGUGAAAUGCGUAGAGAUCGGCAGGAACACCCAAGGGGAAGCCAGCGGACUGGCGCGAUACUGACACUGAGGUGCGAUAGCGUGGGGAGCGAACGGGA